rnacentral:rRNA from 1 species
GACGAGCACGCCGCGUGAGUGAAGAAGGUUUUCGGAUCGUAAAACUCUGUUGUUAGAGAAGAACAAGGACGUUAGUAACUGAACGUCCCCUGACGGUAUCUAACCAGAAAGCCACGGCUAACUACGUGCCAGCAGCCGCGGUAAUACGUAGGUGGCAAGCGUUGUCCGGAUUUAUUGGGCGUAAAGCGAGCGCAGGCGGUUUCUUAAGUCUGAUGUGAAAGCCCCCGGCUCAACCGGGGAGGGUCAUUGGAAACUGGGAGACUUGAGUGCAGAAGAGGAGAGUGGAAUUCCAUGUGUAGCGGUGAAAUGCGUAGAUAUAUGGAGGAACACCAGUGGCGAAGGCGGCUCUCUGGUCUGUAACUGACGCUGAGGCUCGAAAGCGUGGGGAGCAAACAGGAUUAGAUACCCUGGUAGUCCACGCCGUAAACGAUGAGUGCUAAGUGUUGGAGGGUUUCCGCCCUUCAGUGCUGCAGCAAACGCAUUAAGCACUCCGCCUGGGGAGUACGACCGCAAGGUUGAAACUCAAAGGAAUUGACGGGGGCCCGCACAAGCGGGGGAGCAUGUGGUUUAAUUCAAAGCACCGCGAAGAACCUUACCAGGUCUUGACAUCCUUUGACCACUCUAGAGAUAGAGCUUUCCCUUCGGGGAUAAAGUGACAAGGUGUUGCAUGGUUGUCGUCAGCUCGUGUCGUGAGAUGUU